rnacentral:ncRNA from 3 species
AGUAUUGAAAGGCAAAGCCGUUGAAAGACGGUGACGCAAAGCUAGAGGGUCUCACUCACAUAGGUAUGUGACAGAUAGCCAGCUGCUGGU